UAACACACGUAUGUUCUUUUCCUUUAUCCUUACCUCCUCUUUCUCUCCCCAUGUUUUAAAGCCUACAUAACAGAUACUACUUGGCCCUAUGGUUGGUCCCUUGCUUAGAAAUACUAAUUCUGAGCCACAUAAUUAGCUAACCACAUGAUCCAGCAUUAUACAACGAAACACUUCAAAAAACCAACACAAGUUGGGCGCGGUGGUGCACACCUCAAGCUGCCUCUAGUUCCAGCUAAUGCAGAGGUUGAGGCAGGAGGACCACUUGGGCCCAGGAGUUCAAGGCUACAGUGAGCUAUGAUCAUGCCACUGCGAGACCCUCAUCUCAAUGAAAAAACAACAAAACCACAGCCAUGUUAUUUCAAGAGUCAGGUAAGUAUCAAACCAAUGCUUAUGAACAGGAAAAUUAUGCCAAUCUGAAAAUAUGUGGAAAAUCUGCUUGGCAUUUUAUCUUCCCCUAAAGUACUAAUAUUUCCAAGCCUGUCAAGUUCCCCAAAUGAAAUGAAAACCCUCCCUUACCAUAUUGACAUGUAUGAUGUUAUGGGACUUGACUUAAUCUAAGAAUUCUGAAACUGCUUCUCACUAAAAUUCAACAUGAAAAAAGAACACCCAUACCAUCACUGCUAAUAAGACUUUUUUUUUUUUUUUUUUUUUUUUUGGAGACAGGGUCUUGCUCUGUUGCUUGAGCUAGAGUGCAGUGGCACAACCAUGGCUCACUGAAGUCUUCCCAGGCUCAAGUGAUCCUCCCACCUCAGCCAGCGUGCACUACCAUACCUGGCUAAUUUUUAAUAAAUUUUUUGUAGAGACAGGGUCUCAGUUGUUGCCCAGUCUGAUCUCAAACUCCCGCACUCAAUCCUCUCGCCUCAGCAUCCCAAAGUGCUAGGAUUGCAGGCGUGAGCCACUGAGCCUGAUCAAGACAAAUUCUCCAAUCAAAUGCCAGAAUCUGGAAUGAGAAAUGUAAUCAGCGACCUGAAAGCAGUUUGGGGAGCGUGGAAAAGACAACAAACUUGACUGCUUAGAACAGGGGUAUACAAACUCUGGCCUGCAUGACAAAUCCAGCUGCCACCUGUCUUUGUAAAUAAAACUGUUUUGCUUUCUUUGUUGUUUUUUUGUUCUGAGAUAGGGUCUCUGCCAUCCAGGCUAAAGAGGGGUGGCGUCAUCAUGGCUCACUGCAGCCUGGAACUCCUGAGCUCAAGCAAUCCUCCCACCUCAGCUCCCAAAUAGCUGAGACUAUAGGCACACACCAACAUGCAUGGCUAAUUUAAAAACCUUCUUUGUUUUUUUUUUGUAGAGAUGGGCGGGGGCGGCGGGGGGGUCUUACUAUGUUGCUCAGGCUGGUCUUGAACUCCUGGCCUCAAGUGAUCCUUGGCCUUGGCCUCCCAAAGCACUAACAUUACAGGUUUGAGCCAUCAUGCCCAGCCAGUAAAUAAAAUUUACUUGGAACAGUUAUACCUACUCAUUUAAGUCUAUGGCUGCUUUUGCAUUAUAAGGGCAGAGGCAGAGUUGAGCCGUCACAACAGAGAUUAUGUAGUACGCAAAGCUAAA
rnacentral:lncRNA from 10 species